UACGGAGGGGGCUAGCGUUAUUCGGAAUUAUUGGGCGUAAAGGGCGUGUAGGCGGCUUUGUGUGUCCCAUGUGAAAGCCCUCGGCUCAACCGGGGAACUGCAUGGGAAGCUGCAGAGCUUGAGUCCGGGAGAGGAUAGUGGAAUUCCCAGUGUAGCGGUGAAAUGCGUAGAUAUUGGGAGGAACACCGGUGGCGAAGGCGGCUAUCUGGACCGGUACUGACGCUGAGGAGCGAAAGCGUGGGGAGCGAACAGG
rnacentral:rRNA from 1 species